CGUCAGCGGCCCUCCGCCUCUUGGGUUUGCGUGACGGUGGUUCCAUCUCAGCCGCCCUCUGCCUCUUGGGUUUGCGUGGUUUUUCUGCCUCAGCCUCCUGAGUAGCUAAGGGAGGUGUCUUGAGAUUAUCAUCUGCUGAGGGUGGAAGCGGCCCCCGCAGACGCUCGGCAGGUGUCUUGAGAUUAUCAUCUGCUGAGGGUGGAAGCGGCCCCCGCAGACGCUCGGCAGGUAUCUUGAUAUUAUCAUCUGCUGAGGGUGGAGCUGAGGGUGGAAGGGGAGUGAGCUGACGCUCGGAAGGUGUCUUGAGAUCAUCCGCUGAGGGUGGAAGGCAGGUGUCUUGAUAUUAUCAUCUGCUGAGGGUGGAAGGGCAGUGAGCUGACGCUCGGAAGGUGUCUUGAGAUUAUCAUCCGCUGAGGGUGGAAGGGGAGUGAGCACACACUCGGGAGGUGUCUUGAGGCUCAGGGAGUUAUCAGUUAUAGAAUGUUGUUGAGUUGGAGGAGGUGGCUGGUGGCCCAUCCUGU
rnacentral:lncRNA from 1 species